rnacentral:rRNA from 1 species
GAUGAACGCUGGCGGCGUGCCUAAUACAUGCAAGUCGAGCGAACAGACGAGGAGCUUGCUCCUCUGACGUUAGCGGCGGACGGGUGAGUAACACGUGGAUAACCUACCUAUAAGACUGGGAUAACUUCGGGAAACCGGAGCUAAUACCGGAUAAUAUAUUGAACCGCAUGGUUCAAUAGUGAAAGACGGUUUUGCUGACACUUAUAGAUGGAUCCGCGCCGCAUUAGCUAGUUGGUAAGGUAACGGCUUACCAAGGCAACGAUGCGUAGCCGACCUGAGAGGGUGAUCGGCCACACUGGAACUGAGACACGGUCCAGACUCCUACGGGAGGCAGCAGUAGGGAAUCUUCCGCAAUGGGCGAAAGCCUGACGGAGCAACGCCGCGUGAGUGAUGAAGGUCUUCGGAUCGUAAAACUCUGUUAUUAGGGAAGAACAAAUGUGUAAGUAACUAUGCACGUCUUGACGGUACCUACUCAGAAAGCAACGGCUAACUACGUG